rnacentral:rRNA from 1 species
AUUGAACGCUGGCGGCAGGCCUAACACAUGCAAGUCGAGCGAGCGGCGGACGGGUGAGUAAUGUCUGGGAAACUGCCUGAUGGAGGGGGAUAACUACUGGAAACGGUAGCUAAUACCGCAUACCAUCAGAUGUGCCCAGAUGGGAUUAGCUAGUCGGUGGGGUAACGGCCCACCUAGGCGACGAUCCCUAGCUGGUCUGAGAGGAUGACCAGCCACACUGGAACUGAGACACGGUCCAGACUCCCACGUGAGGCAGCAUUGGGGAAUAUUGCACAAUGGGCGCAAGCCUUAUGCAGCCGUGCCGCGUGUGUGAAGAAGGCCUUCGGGUUGUAAAGCACUGUCAGCGGGGAGGCGUUACCCGCAGAAGAAGCACCUGCUAACUCCGUGCCAGCCGCCGCGGUAAUAC